rnacentral:rRNA from 1 species
AUGGAGGGCGGGCGUCCGACCUCCGUGCUUCUCUUGCUGGUGCUGCUGGCGGCGCCGCUCGUGGUGGCGUCGGCUGGCCCCUCGUCGCCGGCGGCGUUCCUGGAGGACGACGUGGUCCUCGGCGCCGUGGCGAGGCUGGGCAAGGGCGCCAACGCCAGCGGGCGGGGCGGCCCCAUCUGCGACAACGUCGACGUCGCCAUCUCCGCCGUCGUCGGCGGGUCGUCGCGCGAGCGCGGUGCGUCCGGGUGGAAGGAGGAGAUCGCGGGGCUGGCGGGGCGGCCGGAGAUGGCGGCGUGGCUGCGGCGGGUGCGGCGCCGGAUCCACGAGCGGCCCGAGCUGGCGUACGAGGAGGUGGAGACGAGCCGGCUGGUCCGCGAGGAGCUGGACGGCAUGGGCGUCGGCUUCCGGUACCCGCUGGCGCGCACCGGCGUCGUCGCCACCAUCGGCACCGGCCGGCCGCCCGUCGUCGCGCUCCGGGCCGACAUGGACGCGCUGCCCAUCCAGGAGGCGGUGGAGUGGGAGCACAAGAGCAAGAACCCCGGGAAGAUGCACGCGUGCGGCCACGACGCGCACGUCGCCAUGCUGCUCGGCGCCGCCAGCAUCCUCAAGGCCCGCGAGCGCCACCUCAAGGGUACGGUGAAGCUGCUGUUCCAGCCGGCGGAGGAGUCCGGCGCGGGCGCGAAGCGGAUGAUCGAGGACGGCGCGCUGGAGGGCGUGGAGGCCAUCUUCGCCGUCCAUGUGUCGCACCAGCACCCGACGUCCGUGGUCGGCUCCCGGACGGGGCCGCUGCUCGCCGGCUGCGGCUUCUUCAAGGCCCAGAUACUCGCCCGCCGCGCCGGCGCCGACCCGGUCCUGGCCGCCUCGUCCACCAUCAUCAGCCUGCAGAGCCUCGUGUCUCGGGAGGCGGACCCGCUGGACUCGCAGGUGGUGUCCGUCGCCAUGGUCAACGGCAGCUUCAGCCACGGCGGCGACCAGGCGGCGCCGUUGGUGCUAGGCGGCACGUUCCGGGCCUUCUCGAACGCGAGCUUCUACACGCUGCGGCGGCGGAUCGAGGAGGUGAUGACGCUGCAGCCGCGGGUGCACGGCUGCGAGGCCUCCGUCGACUUCUUCGAGAACCAGAGCUUCUACCCGCCGACGGUGAACCACCCGCGCAUGUACGCCCACGUCAAGGCGACGGCGCGCGCGCUCCUGGGCGAGGGAGGCUACCGCGACGUGCCGCCGAUGAUGGGCGCCGAGGACUUCUCCUUCUACUCCCAGGCCGUCCCCGCCGGGUUCUACUACGUGGGCGUGCGCAACGAGACGCUCGGGUCCGUGCACACGGGCCACUCGCUCUACUUCAUGAUCGACGAGGACGUGCUCCCCACCGGCGCCGCAGUCCACGCCGCCGUCGCCGAGAGGUACCUCGCCGGCGGCGCCGAGCAGCACUCCGACCAGCGUUCGCCGGAACAGGAGCUGUGA